rnacentral:ncRNA from 1 species
AAUAUAGUUUAGCAAACCUGCCGAAAGGCAGCGACGCAAAGCCAAAGGGUCUAAGCCUAUGAGGGUAUGACAGCCGGUUGCCGUG